rnacentral:rRNA from 1 species
UACGGAGGAUGCGAGCAUUAUCCGGAUUUAUUGGGUUUAAAGGGUGCGCAGGCGGCACGGCAAGCCGGCGGUCAAAUCGCGGGGCUCAACCCCGCCCAGCCGUCGGAACUGCCGGGCUUGAGUGGGCGAGAAGUGCGCGGAAUGCGUGGUGUAGCGGUGAAAUGCAUAGAUAUCACGCAGAACUCCGAUUGCGAAGGCAGCGCACCGGCGCCCUACUGACGCUCAGGCACGAAAGCGUGGGUAUCGAACAGG